rnacentral:sRNA from 1 species
UUGUUGAUGGCGCAUUAUUCUAGUCAAUAACAUUUAUUAUGAAGGCGGGGUUAAAAUACCGCAUAAGAGCAUAACUGUGAAACUUUUGGUGUUUGCUUCUUACGCCCAGUUUGGGGUGAAUGCUGGAAGGUAGAGUGUUGGGCAUCCACAAUGGCAUGUGCAAAUGACCCAACAUUCAUGGAGACCUAAUUAUGUGUUAAGCCUAUACGUACCAUACUGAUGGACUUGAUACAGAUUAGGAUUAAACCUAUCUCAUGGCGCAAGUUAUGGAUAGUGUAGCUUGUCUUGAGUGAUUAUUGGGGAUACGAGAUGUAUUAAUUAUACCGUAGCUAAGUAUUUUAAUGGAUAGUCUUUUGAAACAAUAAUUGCAAAAAAGUACUAAUAAUAAAUGAGUUGGGGAGGAAAUCUCCUAGAGUGACAUAAUAUAGGAUUGCAGUGCGUACUAAGUGGUAAUCAAGCCAUACAUUCAGUGAUGAUGUAUUGGUUUCCUUAAAGGGGAACCGCAAUUUGGUAACGAAUUGUGUGAAACCAGAGAAAUUCUGCUUGACCUAUGACGUAAAGUUAACUAUAUUAUAUGCCAUAUCAUUUUU